CACCGCCCGUCACAUCACGAAAGCAGGCUGCACUAGAAGUCGCCGCGCUAACCCGCAAGGGACGCCGGUGCCCAAGGUGUGGUUUGUGAUUGGGUG
rnacentral:rRNA from 1 species